CCGCUGCUGUCCUGACAGGGCGAAGUCCUGUCCAGGCGCACGUGAUGCUCCGCUCGCGGCAGCGGCCCGAAGGCCUGCACGCAUUUGCCAGCCGUCGCUUUGCCGUAAAAGGACUCAUUGUCCAGCGUCUCCAUAACGUGCUCCAACGCGCCUCCUGUGCCCAUGUAAAAGUCACUGUUUUUACUUGGCGGGCUCUUCAGGGCAAACUUCUCGCUCAGAAACUCCAUAAUCCUGGAAAGGCUGUCCGCGAGCUCUCCGGGGCGUGCGGAGGCUGGAGGGCGCGGAGGGAGGAGGGAGCAGUGGGCGGGAGUAGGGAGGGUCAGAGAGGAGGGAAAGGGGAAGCGAGACCUGCGACGCCAGGAGCUGCCCAGCUCCCAGACUCUUAAUACGUCCCGGCUGCAGAAGGGGCACCCGAAGUUGCUUUUAUAUCUUGAAACUCAGCUGGGCUCCUCCGGCAACCUCCCAGUCCUAAUGAAUAUGAAAAUAGACAAAUGCCAGGAGAGACAAGGACACCCAGAAUCGUAGUCGCCUCGACAGUGGGACUGGCAUUGCCGAGGAGCCUGGUGAGAACGCAGAGCGGUUAACGCUCCACUCCCAGAGGCCUUGCCGGGCCAUCUCCCCCACCCCCGCUACCCCCCACCCCCACUCCCCCAACACCCGCUGUACACCCCGCCCCCACCCCAGCCACUCACUCCCAGAAGAUUUAGAGGCAUCUUAAGAACUUGAAAGGAAGUAUUGCUCUAAAGAGCUUUUAUUUCAUCCGUAAAUCGUUUACAUGGAAGAUCCACAUUAAUCUGAGCCCAAGACGCCGGAUACAGCGGCGGCUGUUAACCGGCUUGCUGGAGGUAAAGGGGCCGAGGUUGCCUCUAACCUAAAAGGCUGGCGUCGUGGCGGCCGCAGCGCUCUCCCUUACAAGGCCCUGGCCUUCUCGUUUGCUGUCGGAUGCACCGGAGUAAGGAUGCAGUGGCAUCUAACGGAAUGGAAGGUUGAGGGAGAGUCUUUGAAUAUUUGAUUUUACCAAUACCAAACAAUAACCACCUCAUUCUUGGUCCACACGAAUCAUUAGGACAAAAUGUAUUGUUGUUGUUGUUGUUAUUAUUAUUACUAUUAUUGAAAAUUCAUAGAGACAAGUGGCCCUGAAACCCCUUUCUUAGUGGAGGUCAGAGGAACUCAUCACGCAAAACAGCGUUGGGAGAUGAAUGCGGUCAGAGUGUUUUAACAAAAGUUGUACUAUAUACAGGUUUCAAGAGUUGGGGCGGUGCCUUCGAAAAGAGUGUUGCAGAAGCUAGUGGCUCCGCGGACUGGGGUUGGACUCACAGUUGCGGACCCAAAACCCUUCCUUGGUCCAGCUGACCGGGAUGCUAGCGAAGGUAAAACGGCGCUUUGGAGAUGAAAACCAUUCUGCUUGGCCUUGUGCCCCACUUCAGCUUCUGAGGAGCCCGAGGCGUCUGAGGCGGGGGAGGGAAAAAAAAGAGUUCCUUGCCUUGGGCACACUCAAGAAGCCAUUUGCAAUAGAUCAGCCAAGCUUGCAAAUUUGGUGAAACUCCCCUACAAAUUAUGGACAAGGGAGGUCUCUGCCCACCGAUCCUGACAUAACCUUCCUCUCUCACCACAGAGGCCUUCCACAGCGGCUGCCCCUUUUCUCCGGGUUACGUUGGCAAUUACAGCAGAGCCUUAGUCACUUCGGGUAACCUCGCCGCUGCGGGUGGCCUAGCCCUUUUCAGUCGGGUGUCUGUCCGCCAAGGUUCGGAAAUUUCCACAUUCUUCUUCGUCCUCGAUCCACAGGUGGGACCCUCAUUGACGCCCGACCUGGACACAGCUUGCGAGCAAAGAUCCCAGGCACAAUGUUCUGCACAACUGUUGCUUAGCACUGCCCCAAAGGCGGGGCUGCCAGUGAAAAAUGAAGAUUCCAUCCGACAGGACCUGAGAAAAAGUGUCAGGAGCAGCAGCCAUGUUCACCCGGUUCACCACAUUUCCUCCCCAAGAACGGACCCUUUGCUGAGCUACCACCAAUUGACACCGUUUUGCCUUUUAACGGGUUCUAUGAUAUUUUUAAUUGUUUUCUCCGGAGCCUUGAGAUAGCACCAUCAACAAUGAACUGACGAACUUCCAAGAGUGCGGGGGGGGGGGGGGGGGAGGUUAAAGAAAAGCAGGGACUGUCCUGGGCUCUAGCGGAAGGGGAGUCAGGGCUCUAAGAUGGGCAUUCUCCGAAGUGCGAGGCGUUGCUUGCUCCACCUUCUCUGGGGUGGCCUGCAAGUGGGGAGGAAAAACCCAGGAAAUGUGUGCAUCAAGUUUGCUUACAAAGAGAGAAGCUGUAUUCUUCUUGACCCUUUAUCAGAUUGUUCCUGGUGGAAGGUAGACUGAGUUGAGUUGGCCACUCAUUCCUUGUUAGCUUGGUCAGUUUGCAGGAUCUCCCUUUUAAAUCUAUCUUACCUCUAAAUAUUCUGAAAGUCUGCUUUGCCCUAAUAAACGCGAGAAAGAGGAAAGAAACAAACAACCUUUGAUGGGUCUUUCAAAUAUUCACAGCGGCAAGCGCUCCUAUGACUGAUGAAGAACUAUGCAGAGAAUUCUCAGUUAUAAACGUAGCUAUGUCAUGGAGCUUUGUCUGUCUGUUUAUAAAUAUGCGUUUUAGGAGCCCCAAAUUCCCUGAAAAACAUUCGGUGUCUUUUAAAUCAAAGACAUAUGAUACAAGCUCUCCAGCACUUGUAUACCAAUAGACUAGGUCCGAUUUAGGGGGAAACUUCUGUGUAGUCCGGGUCAACUGCAGCUUCGGAAGCCUUUUCCACCCCAUUACCCAAACCCACUUUUGACCGAAGUGGUUUCAGGGGUGGGGUCCAAGGUGUCACCCACCCACUUCAGAUCCCGGAAACCUCCUGAAAAUUCAAAUCUAUUACACGGAACCCCCUUGCGUUUUGUGACAUGUAACCACAUGAGCCCAUAACAGAGGCAACAGUUAAUGGCAAACUCCCAUAACGAAUGCAUAAUCUGCAGGUUUUGGCAAGAAGCUGGGUCUUUGGUUGCCAAGAGUUGCAUUAAAUAAAUUUUGAGGGGUUGAGAUAGAGUUUAUAGCAAUGACACAGCCCUAGCCAGUUGAGCAUUAAUAUUAAAUUUAGGAUACUAAUUAAGGCAAUAAUAAUUGAAUGGUUUCUGGAAAUCACAAAGAAGUGGAAUCGACUGGGAGGUCACUGCACCUGGGCUGCGCUGGCCUGAUGUUUUGGGACAUAACACCAAAUAUAGACUGAAAUACUUGGAUAAGUGCUCUCCUAUAUAUGUAGAACCAGCAUGCCACCCACUCAGUUUUUAAAAUUAGCUGCUACUUCUAGUUUUUGCACCAUCCUAACCCUUCCUGAUUUUUAACCACCUAAAGUAAGCGGUCAACUGGGAAGGGGGAAGAACCAGUUAAGUAUGAAGUAAGGUGGCUUUUUUUUUCCCUCUCAGCCCCAGCCUGUUAUUUCAAGCUUCCCACUUCACUUAACAGUUCUGCACAUACUUUGCACUUCACAAACCUUGUGAUCUAAAGUCAGGAUUCUCUUCCUUCUUUUUACUUAACCCAAUCUGUCAAAACUUUUUCUUAUCUGCUUUUUUUUUUCACGUUUGAAUUUUGAGGGUAGUGUAUCCACAGAGAUUAAGGGACAUUUCUUUUUUUUUAAGCCUGAAAGCAUGCCGGACAUCUCAGGAUUCCAGCCCUCUGGGAUCCCUGGGAGUUUCAUAGCCUUUGCAGGAGUCUCAGCACCUGCAGAGGACUUCAGGGUGGAGGACCAAGAGAUCUGGAGAGGGGUAGGAGGAGUCUUUGGGCUAAGGCCUUGGCUGUUUGCUCCUCUGGUGAUUAAGAUCUGUCUGGUCGGCUAAAGCAUUCCUCUGCUUACAAACACGGAGAGGGAAUUUCGUGGAGAAGAUUGCUCCCUUCGCAUGUCACACCUAAUAUUGUUCCUGCAGCUGGCAGUCUCCCAUACAGACAUGUGAUUUGGGU
rnacentral:lncRNA from 1 species